GAGGUUCCUGGAAGCGGCUGCAGCCAUCUUAGGAGCCUCCCAGACUUAACCUGGGUCGGGCGGUAGAGUCCUCGGCUCUCGUCCUGAGGUGCCGCUGCUGGUGGUCUUAGGGAGGAGGGCGGAACGGAAACGCUCCGACCCUCUUAAUGCACUGCUAGACUUGAAAGAAUCACACUGUUCCCAAAAAUGUUAAUUCGAAAGCUAAAAGAACAAAAAUUUCAGUUUUAAUAUAUUUUGUGGACAGUGAUUCUUCUUUUGUUGUCCAGAGAAGGAUGUGCUGAAGAGUUCGCCCCAACCCGAGGACUUGGCUGCUUUCAGGCUCAGAGGGAGCCUUCCAUCUCGCCUGCGGCCUUCUUGCAGAUUUGGCCUCACAGCCCUGAUUUGGGCUGGAGGUAUUUGGUUUUCCCUCAGGGGAGGAGACUGCGAAACGUCCGAGCUGGAGUGACGUCCGCGCUCACCUCGUCGUAAUUGCAUGGGGAAGGGCGUAUUUCUCAGGAAGGUCAGGGUGUCAGGAACCCUGACACUGUCAUGAAGAGCAAGAAGGAAAAACUCAGAGAAUUGAAAAUCAGCUGGAAACUGCUGGAGGAGCUGCCAGACACAAUCAAGGAAGAGGAGAAACACCGGAGCCUGAAAAGAAGAGUAAUAUCCCACCGAUGCCAUCCCGAAUCAUUCUCACCUCUUCACUGGCCCCAGUUCCCCCAAGCCGAGUCAGGAAGGGAUGUCCAGCUGCCACCCACUCUCGCUGCACUAGUGAUUGGAAGCCAAACAGUGUUCGGGCUUCAGGGGCUGAAAGCAGCUGGACGAGUGAAGAGAGGAGGCCAUUGAGAUCACGAUCACCGCGCUCUGGGUGAUAAAGAGGAAGAAGGGACAAAGAAGAGGGGUCCAAGAAACUAGGGCAGAAGAGAAUGAGAAGAGAAAUACGGCAAGGAGAAGUGAGAGGCACAGAGGGGAAAAGUUUGGGGUAGGAGGAUUGAGAGAGCACAUAGAAGUGAAGAGAAAACAAAGACCUUGAAUGAUUCACUUCCUAGACUCCACCCGGAUAGAAAUACCCAGUUUCACAUGUAAGGGGCAGAAUCACAAUUCUCAAACCAGCUUCCACACUGCCCUUCCCACCCCAACCCCAGUCCCCAUCCACUGAUGGAAGGAAAGGAACAAAGGAGCUAAGACCAUCCUAGUGUCAGGGAUUACAAGUUGUGAUGGGGAGGCAGAGGUAAUACUGAAGGAUGAGAGUAGAGCUCGCAGGUAGUUCCCAGGAACAGGAGAGGAAGAAGUCUUAUGGGUCUCCCUCCCUGAAUGCAAUCUGGUCAGGUGGGUAAAGAAAAGAGGCAAGGAAUGGAAUGGGCUUAACCAAGGAACUCACCUUGAAGUAUUACAGAACGAACCCUGGAUGUCACUAAUACUGAAAUGUCACUGGCCUUUCGAAGACAAGCCCUGGAGGAGCAGGUGAGGAAGAGGGAGGAAGAAUGAUAAGCCUAGGGGAAUGGAGUGAUGGGUCAUGGGAUGGAAUAAGGCCGACUCCAAAUCCUACCCCUCCUCCUUCUAAAGAGCAGAAAAUGGCAGUCUUCUUGGGAAACCGAGGAGGAGAACUAAAGAAAGGCCAUUUAGGACCCCAAGUUAACAGAAGGUUGAGGAAGGUUGAAUUAUAAAUGAUGGCUAGAAGAAGCGAGGGAGUACCUGACAUGGUCCAGCCAUCGUGUGCCUUCCAGGGCUGAAAGCCAUUUAUCCUCAGCUACAGAUGAAUCUGAUAGAGGGUAGAAAGAUCAGAAGGGCAAAGAGAUUAGAACUCAGGAUUCAGGAUUCAGGUUGAUAGCCUGCUGGGUUAAGAACAGGAAUGAAAAGUAAUUGUAAAUGGCCAGGAUGGUUUCUAAAAUUAAACUGUGAUGAUGGUUGUACAACAUUGUAAAUAUAAUAAAACUCACUGAAUUGUA